rnacentral:rRNA from 1 species
CGUAGGUGAACCUGCGGAGGGAUCAUUACUGAGUUUACGCUCUAUAACCCUUUGUGAACAUACCUAUAACUGUUGCUUCGGCGGGUAGGGUCUCCGUGACCCUCCCGGCCUCCCGCCCCCGGGCGGGUCGGCGCCCGCCGGAGGAUAACCAAACUCUGAUUUAACGACGUUUCUUCUGAGUGGUACAAGCAAAUAAUCAAAACUUUUAACAACGGAUCUCUUGGUUCUGGCAUCGAUGAAGAACGCAGCGAAAUGCGAUAAGUAAUGUGAAUUGCAGAAUUCAGUGAAUCAUCGAAUCUUUGAACGCACAUUGCGCCCGCCAGCAUUCUGGCGGGCAUGCCUGUUCGAGCGUCAUUUCAACCCUCAAGCUCUGCUUGGUGUUGGGGCCCUACAGCUGAUGUAGGCCCUCAAAGGUAGUGGCGGACCCUCCCGGAGCCUCCUUUGCGUAGUAACUUUACGUCUCGCACUGGGAUCCGGAGGGACUCUUGCCGUAAAACCCCCAAUUCUCCAAAGGUUGACCUCGGAUCAGGUAGGAAUACCCGCUGAACUUAAGCAUAUCAAUAAGCGGAGGAAA